rfam:Triticum aestivum genome assembly, contig: Triticum_aestivum_CS42_TGACv1_scaffold_542911_6DS
AUACCUUUCUCGGCCUUUUGGCUAAGAUCAAGUGUAGUAUCUGUUCUUAUCAGUUUAAUAUCUGAUAUAUGGGCCAUGUGCCCAUAACGAUAUUAAAUUUAUUUUUUGUGAGGGUGGUGGGUCGACCACAGUAGCUUGCUACUGGGGCCCACACGCGUCGCCUGGGCGUUGCACUGCUGCCCUGGCCCGGCGCACCCCAA